GCAGCGGUGGCGCAGUGGUAACGCGUGAGAUGUGAGCAACCCUGAUAACUCUCAUGCAAGCUCCAAAACUAACAAUUCCUCAGUGCAAUUAAAGCAAUACAUCUCAAGAUCCCGUGUUCGAACCACGGUCGCUGCU
rnacentral:tRNA from 1 species